UUUAGAGUUUGAUCCUUGCUCAGGAUGAACGCUGGCGGCGUGCCUAAUACAUGCAAGUCGAGCGAACAGACGAGGAGCUUGCUCCUCUGACGUUAGCGGCGGACGGGUGAGUAACACGUGGAUAACCUACCUAUAAGACUGGGAUAACUUCGGGAAACCGGAGCUAAUACCGGAUAAUAUAUUGAACCGCAUGGUUCAAUAGUGAAAGACGGUUUUGCUGUCACUUAUAGAUGGAUCCGCGCCGCAUUAGCUAGUUGGUAAGGUAACGGCUUACCAAGGCAACGAUGCGUAGCCGACCUGAGAGGGUGAUCGGCCACACUGGAACUGAGACACGGUCCAGACUCCUACGGGAGGCAGCAGUAGGGAAUCUUCCGCAAUGGGCGAAAGCCUGACGGAGCAACGCCGCGUGAGUGAUGAAGGUCUUCGGAUCGUAAAACUCUGUUAUUAGGGAAGAACAAAUGUGUAAGUAACUAUGCACGUCUGUUC
rnacentral:rRNA from 1 species